UUCCUACGGGAGGCAGCAGUGGGGAAUAUUGCGCAAUGGGCGAAAGCCUGACGCAGCGACGCCGCGUGGGUGAAGAAGGUCUUCGGAUCGUAAAACCCUGUUGUUAGAGAAGAAAGUGCGUGAGAGUAACUGUUCACGUUUCGACGGUAUCUAACCAGAAAGCCACGGCUAACUACGUGCCAGCAGCCGCGGUAAUACGUAGGUGGCAAGCGUUAUCCGGAUUUAUUGGGCGUAAAGAGAACGCAGGCGGUCUUUUAAGUCUGAUGUGAAAGCCUUCGGCUUAACCGGAGUAGUGCAUUGGAAAC
rnacentral:rRNA from 1 species